rfam:Triticum aestivum genome assembly, contig: Triticum_aestivum_CS42_TGACv1_scaffold_499340_6BL
AUAAUACUCCCUCCGUCCCAAAAUUCUUGUCUUAGAUUUAUCUAGAUACGAAUGUAUCUAACACUAAAAUGUUAAUAGAUACAUUCAUAUGUGGACAAAUCUAAGACAAGAAUUUUGGGAUGGAGGGGGUAUUAU